GGGGGAGGAGCUGGUAAAGAAAGCUUUUGUCUGUACAACAAAUAGAUGAAAAACAGUGUUCUAUGUGAAAGAGAAAAAAUACAGACAAAAAUAUUAGGUUUGAAUACGUGGCUCAUCAGUGUUUGUAAAGCUUCUCAGUUGGAGCCUAGAUUAUAGUCAGAGCACUUAAAAAAUAUCAUCCUUGUUUUACUUUAAAUAAUCUUAGGAGGUGAAUGAAAGGAAUGGAACCUAACCAGAGGCACUGCUAGCAAAAUCCUGUAGCACCCAACUGAUGGGCAUGGAAGCAGACAAUGCAUAGCUAUACUGAAAACAUACAGCUAGUAGACUGAAUGAGAUGUCACCUGAAGAAGAGCUCAGUGUAAACUUGACAGCUGAGCUCUUUCACCAACUGAAGUUAGUCCAGAAAAGAUAUUAUCUUACCCACCUUGGCUGACCGUGUGAUCAAGGCAGGAAAUGCUGGUUGGAAAUCUAAGAGGAAGUUAAUAUUGUCUGCAUCUCCGUAAACCUCCCUCUGGAUCACCUCCGUGAAUGCUCCUAAGCAGUUCCAUGGGGACACAUCUGAUGGCAGCACAUUUCCAGCAGCAGCUUUGAUGCUAAAUUAA